rnacentral:rRNA from 1 species
UACGGAGGGUGCAAGCGUUGUUCGGAUUUAUUGGGCGUAAAGGGCGUGUAGGCGGUUCGUUAAGUCUGAUGUGAAAGCCCCGGGCUCAACCCGGGAAGUGCAUUGGAAACUGGCGAACUUGAGUACGGGAGAGGGCAGUGGAAUUCCUAGUGUAGGAGUGAAAUCCGUAGAUAUUAGGAGGAACACCGGUGGCGAAGGCGGCUGCCUGGACCGAUACUGACGCUGAGACGCGAAAGCGUGGGGAGCAAAAAGG